rnacentral:rRNA from 1 species
UAGAGUUUGAUCAUGGCUCAGAUUGAACGCUGGCGGCAGGCCUAACACAUGCAAGUCGAGCGGUGGCACAGGAGAGCUUGCUCUCUGGGUGACGAGCGGCGGACGGGUGAGUAAUGUCUGGGAAACUGCCUGAUGGCGGGGGAUAACUAGUGGAAACGGUAGCUAAUACCGCAUAAUGUCGCAAGACCAAAGUGGGGGACCUUCGGGCCUCACGCCAUCAGAUGUGCCCAGGUGGGAUUAGCUGGUAGGUGGGGUAACGGCUCACCUAGGCGACGAUCCCUAGCUGGUCUGAGAGGAUGACCAGCCACACUGGAACUGAGACACGGUCCAGACUCCUACGGGAGGCAGCAGUGGGGAAUAUUGCACAAUGGGCGCAAGCCUGAUGCAGCCAUGCCGCGUGUGUGAAGAAGGCCUUCGGGUUGUAAAGCACUUUCAGCGAGGAGGAAAGGUAAUGUGUUAAUAAGACAUUGC